GCCUAUUUUAUGAAAAAAAGUCACACGAAUACAUUUUGCUUUCCUUUCGAAUCAUCAAAAUUUCAUCACGUCCUCAGUGAAGAUAAUUUAUUGUUUGUCAUCGACAGUGCUUUUCUCUCUCAAGAGGGAUUGCCUUUUCGUGUACAUUUUCACUUUCAAUGAUCAACUUGACACAAUUAUAAACACACAAGUGGUGAGACUAUCAAACCGCCACUUAACUACAAUUUUAAUAAUUAUUACUCCAAUGAAGGAAUUAUUUACGAUGUUGUUUGUAAUUAAAAUAGUUUUGAAACUUGGGGUCUAUUAAUUAAAUAAACAAAGAAAGUGAAAAUUUAUUACAUCAAUUCCAAUUGGAAAUGAAAUCUCUGUGCGUUCAUGGUUCACGUACAGAGUUAAUUAAGAUAAAACGAAAUAUGUGGGCAAUUAGCACUAUUGUGUUUUUUUAGUCUCGAAUGUCGCUCUUCGUGUUUAUCAUUCACUUUCAUCCACUAAUUUGUUCCAGCUCCAAUAUUGAUCGCUCUCGCUCUUUGUCCACUUUUUCAAAUAAAUUCCAUUUUGUGUUGAAUCAAGAAUAAGUCGGGUUUUGUUGUCAAGGCUUCAAUAAACGUGAUGAAAUGAUGAAAAGCGGUGCAUUGUCUCACUGUGUCACUACCAUCAGAUAUAGUUUAUGUGUUAUUGUUUGUACAGCCCACUCUCGUAAGGGAAGAGCUAUUAAUAGUGUGGCAAAUGGGGUCACUGGGUCAAUCAAUGCUCUCGGCGUCCCGGCGCCUGCAAUGGGCGCGUCCGACGCCAAUUGGGCCACCUAUUGAUCCCAACAGCCCCACGUGCGACCAAGUUCUUAGUAGAACACCGCACCAACAACACUCUGCGCUCCUGAAUCUGCACUCUGCAGGUUUAAUGCGAUAUCCCGUACAGAUACUGCGGAGCCGCUGUGAUCAAUGCUGUUUACCUAAUCUUUAUUCGCGUUUUAUCUCCGCAGAGUCGAACGCUUAGCGAGGGAGCCAAUGCCCAGGCCCCAGAGACUGAAAAUAGCUGACAUUUCCCCUAAAGUUGAAAAAAUAUCAGAUGCUGCGUGAGGGCGAGAGAAAUGGAAAUGUCACUUGAGGAUGAACAAUAAGAGGUUCAUAACGUUUUUGUUUGUUAUUAGAUGGUAAAGGAGCCGGCAUUUAUGACACGAGUACAAAUGGCUUUUUAAAAAAACGUGGAGAAAAUUUCGCAAGGGUGUGAGCGUGGGAAAGAUUUUUAUAGACGCUGGAAUAUCUCAAUUUUAUGGCGUGGAUGAUACAGUGGAAUAGAAAGGGAGAAGAAAAUUGGAAAAUGGUGAAAGAGAAAGUAACGGUUCCUUUGUUUGCUCGCGCGCUGAGUCGCAGGUGCAGCGGAAUAUAAAUAUUUUUAUUUGUUCAUUUAACCCUUGCUGGGACGCAAGGGUGGUUGUUACGAAUUCAGGGGCGCUGGCUGAUUGUAGAUAAACUAUUGAUUUGAAUAAAUAAAUAAAUAAAUA